CCUACGGGAGGCAGCAGUGGGGAAUCUUGCACAAUGGGGGAAACCCUGAUGCAGCGACGCCGCGUGGGCGAUGAAGUAUUUCGGUAUGUAAAGCUCUAUCAGCAGGGAAGAAAAUGACGGUUCCUGACUAAGAAGCCCCGGCUAACUACGUGCCAGCAGCCGCGGUAAUACGUAGGGGGCAAGCGUUAUCCGGAUUUACUGGGUGUAAAGGGAGCGUAGACGGCUUGGCAAGCCACAUGUGAAAGGCUGGGGCUCAACCCCAGGACUGCAUUUGGAACUGGCAGGCUAGAGUGUCGGAGAGGAAGGCGGAAUGCCUGGUGUAGCGGUGAAAUGCGUAGAUAUUAGGAGGAACACCAGUGGCGAAGGCGGCCUGCUGGACGAUGACUGACGUUGAGGCUCGAAAGCGUGGGGAGCAAACAGGAUUAGAUACCCCUGUAGUC
rnacentral:rRNA from 1 species